rnacentral:rRNA from 1 species
UACGAAGGGAGCUAGCGUUGCUCGGAAUGACUGGGCGUAAAGGGCGCGUAGGCGGUUUGUACAGUCAGAUGUGAAAUUCCUGGGCUCAACCUGGGGGCUGCAUUUGAUACGUGCGGACUUGAGUGAGGAAGAGGGUCGUGGAAUUCCCAGUGUAGAGGUGAAAUUCGUAGAUAUUGGGAAGAACACCGGUGGCGAAGGCGGCGACCUGGUCCUUGACUGACGCUGAGGCGCGAAAGCGUGGGGGAGCAAACAGG